AUAACUCCCACGAAGAAUUCCACAUUAAGAAGCCACCAUUGAGUUGCAGACUUGAGAGAACGAGCUGAAGUCUUCAUCCAAGCAGAUCCCAAUCUUCCCAAGCCAAAGGUCAUUCCGAGUCCAUAGGCAAUAAAAUCUAGUGCAUAGGUUGGUGCUGACAAGAAGAGCAAGCAAUGGGGAGCAAGGAAGAUCGACGGACAUUCUCAUCGGUGUUGGUGUCAUGGUUCUCCUGCGUUUGCUCGGUUGAUCGAAACCGAACGGAGAGGAGGCGUUCUGCUGCAUCGCCGACCGGUCCAGAGGCAGCCAUGGUUGCUGCUGCUAAGCACUUCUCUAGUGCACAUAAAGUUAAUUUAGGCUAAUCCAUGCAUGUAUAACUAGUAAAUCUCAGCAAGAUGUGCAUUAGAGC
rnacentral:lncRNA from 1 species